UAGAUGUAUUAAGUUAUAUAUUAUAAGGACUAAAUUAGAAUCUAUCAAUAAAUGAGGGACUAAAAAUGUUAUCUGAAAAAUACAUUAAAGAAGAGAUAGAGAUUUUACAUAAAGAGCAGAGCUAUUCUCACGGAUCUUGCCUGCCUUUUACGACCCAUAAUAUCUUUUCUUUUUAAAAUAUUGUACCAAUAUGUGACACGUACAUUCUAUAUAAACCACCCACUUUUUGUGUUCUUAGCCAAUAGUAAGUUAGAUAGAUAUCAUAGAAGAAGAUCAUCUAGUAACACAAGAAUAUUUCUAGCAGAAUAUCUUUGAGGUCAUGGCAACGUAUCAUCAGAAUAGAAAAACUACUAAAUGGGUCCGAACAAUCACAUCUCCGUUCAGAAAAGCUCGAACUUUGUUCAAUCAAGAAUCAUCGAGGGAUCAUAAGAAGUCGCAUCAAGAAGGGCCGGAGAACCAUAUUGUGAAUUUGCAGAUUGAAGUAAUGACUUGUCCAUAUGAAGAUGUUCAAGUGAUGUGGUCAAUUUUAGACAAGUCAAAGCCAAGAACUUGAACCUUUGUCCAUUUUUCCCAUUUGGAGAAGCUAUCAAGAAUCAAGCAAUUUAUGUACAUUAUUGCUAUUUGUCUUGUGGAUGUGGUGGCUAUAAUCUGACACCCAAAAGCAAGAUUUGGAAAAAUGUUAAUGGCUCUAGUUUGGUAGGUAGAAAAAACAGGUGACAAAUUGGUUGUUAUUCAAGCUAGACUUGUUUUGAUACCAAUUUGUUUUUUUAGUUCAAUCCCCAUGAUAAAUUAUAUCAUGGUGAGAUUUUACUGUAUUUGGAUUUCCAUUAUAAUUCUACAUUCAUUUGUGAAUUACAUUCAAAGGUUGUUUUGAUUCACACACUAAUUAUGCAAGAAUAGUUUAUGUGAUGAA